rnacentral:lncRNA from 1 species
UGUUAAUUCGAACUUGGCUUGGCCACUCAUCCAUCCGUAAGAUCCAACACUGCUCUCCUUCCGUUCCAUUAUCCAGUCAGCUCGGUCAGAUACUUAACCGAAACCCCUUGUUCCUUAGUCACUCAGCCAACCAUCCCCACAUGACCAAGAACAAAUAGAGACGGCUUGAUCUCCAACCAGCCAUCCAAAAGAAUCAGUACGCUAGCCAUGCUCAGCGUCUCAGAACCAGUCACUGAUCACUCCUAGAUCAGUCAGCACGUACUCAGCUCUACAGUCCACUAUCCAGUCAGUACUCCUCACGGCCAUCAUGUUCAUCAAUCUAUCAUGUCCCGUACAUCACCAAACCUGAUCGCAUCCAUCAACCACUCAAACCGUUCUCAUUAGUUCUGCAUCCUUCCUAGGAUCUUACCGUCCCACGCUCAGUAUCCACGAUCAGAUGUAUGCAUCUGAUCCUUCCCACAGAUCAUCAGAACAGACCAAUAACGUAAGCCAUCGCAUCUAGAACACACUCGCGCUCCAAUGUGCGUUCAGAACCACCCACAGACGCACCAAACCACCGAUUAGUUCAUCCCCCGCCUGUCUACCCGUCAAUCCCACUCGAUCCAGUACUCAGUAUGCAUUAAUGAUCGAUAAGACCGCAGAAUGCACCAACUAUCGUUGCCGCUCACUCCGCCUUGAUCCCAUGCAGUAAUAACCGCCGAUCAAUAGCCUAUUAGUCUUGAUCUGUCGAGAACUCGCAUCAGAACCAGACACGAACCAGAACAUCAUUACGGCCACAAUCUCCUAGGCGAAUAGGACUUCCGGCCAUCUCUCUUCAGGUUCCGAUCUGAUCUCUCAUUCUCGGCAUUUCUCUAUUUUUCUCUCCCUUUCUCUGUGUUUUCUGUCCAGACCCGUGUAGAAACGAGAUCCCCUUUCUGUUCCGCGGGAUUUUUCAUUAAAAGGGAGUUUGGGCGGUUACUUCUCGGCCUUAACCGUCCAUAACCGUCCCAUAACUGCUUCCGCGCCCCAAACCCAUCAGUAACCGCUCUCGGACAGUUUCUUAUCAGUCCAUAACCGUCUUUGACGGUUUCCCAGUAACUCCCAGCAGUUCCAACUACUCUUUAACUGCCUUAGCGGUUCCAGAACUCAACUGUUCAUAAACCGUCCCAGUCAGUUAAGCAGUCCAGUAACCACCUGGAACCGUCGUGUAACUAUUCCGAUAACUACUUUGUAACCGUUCCAGUAACUGAUCCCGCCAUUUUCCUUAGCUAAUCAGUUCAUGUUCAGCUCAGUAUCUGUUCCCGUCAGAACGUAUACCAGUCAGUCCACACAUUGACUAACUGAUCUCAGAUGACAAGUCCAGCUGCCUCGUCUGAAUCGUUCCAGCUUAGUCCGACAAGCUUGACUGCUAUGUUCGGACAGACAAUAUCGUCUUAACCUGACCAGUACUAUCCAGAUGACGUGUCCAACAUGUCUGUCCCAUCUGAUCAGUCCGGCCUUGGACUGAUCCAGUCCAGACUGCGGGAUGGGGAUGCUACAAGUCUCCCCCACUUGGAAUGAAUUCGUCCUCGAAUUCAGCAGUUAAUAAAACUUUGUUCUAUCCAAUCAGAACAGUCUCCCUCACUAGGAAUGAAUCCCAACACACGGCAUUCAUGCCUUAACUCAAUUCUCAGGCUUUCGGUCACUCGACUGUUUCUUUGUUCUAGACUUCCUGAUCACAAUCACACGCAUCAGGUACGGUCUCAGCUAUCGAGUUCCUUGAUCCAGUGCCUUCUCACAUACUUAGUCUCAGCAGACUCAGUUCAGUUCACAAACUUACUUCUGAGCAAUCUCCUGAUCUUUGGACACACACUUUGGUGAGAACAUAACUCCCAACAGUGUUGACCAGUUUACCUCAAUUCUCGAAGUACUCAAUACCUUAGUUAAGUUUUUCCAGUCUUUUCCUUAACCGGUCACAAUCAUUCACUAACCCAACCUUAGUCCUUCUAGGACUCAGUUCAAAGGAGUCCAUGUCCGUCCUGACUUGACUGUUUGAUUCCCGCACUCUAGUGUUCUUUAGCAUGGCCUAACUCUGAAUACUAUGAACUUAAUCUUUUCAGAACGCAUGGAUCUCAUCUUGAUCCUUACAGUUGUUCCCUCGGAUCACUCCCUGAUCCUUACCAGUCCCCGACCACUUAUGAUCGACAUCAGCUUUUCUCAUAUCUUUACUGAUCUUUAUUGACACCUCCAGAUCAUUCUUGAUCCUUACAGACAUUUCUUACCGGAUUCUACACUUGAUCCCUUCCACAGUCUUCUUUUCGGACUCCCAGUCCUUCCCGGUUCACAAUCCAUAAUGACAAACUCAUCUUGUUCCCAUUGACUCAGUCAUAGUUAUGUCUUGGACGAUUCAACAGUUCCCAAAGACAUCAGUACAUACAAGCCCUACCAAACAGACGGACGUCCUACAGACAUGUGAUGGCAAACUCUCACUAGUUCCCACCCAUGCUUUCAUCGCGAUCGGAAACCAACAGUAGUGAACUCCUUGAGUUCCAGUAACAGUACAGUUAUGUCUUGGAAUGUACAUCUCCCACAGACAUCAGAUUGGGUUUCCGCAGACUAGAGUACAGACAUGCGAUGGCGAACUAAUCUAGUUCCCACCGACGAGAUAACAGUUACGUCUUGGCAACUCUGUUUUCCCACAGACGUCAGGAUAGAACACGCGAUGAUAGACAGUCACGUCUUGGAAACUCUCGGUUUCCAUAGACGCCAGAACAGACAGUAUCAGUACAGUUAUGCCUUAGCAAACCCACUCAGUUCCUAAGGACAUAUCAUCAACACUAACACUAAUGUUUCAGCAUUCCCACUUGUCCAUUUAAUCUGACACUUAGUCUGGUCUAGCAUUAUCAUUCCAAGUCACCGAGCAGUCAUUUUACUAUCCAGUUAAGUCUUAAUGAGCAUCUCAGCCAUAAGCACCUAGACUGAUAUAGACUCUCGCAUGAAAGGAAUUAAUAUUCUAAACUCAAAUGAUCGUCCCAAAUCAUCGAGCCGUCAUCCAAAAUCCAGCAAGCCUUAGCAAGCGUCACAGCCCCUAAGUACCUUGUCUGAUCUAGACGCUCAUGAUAGGAACCGAUCAUUUACUACUUUUGAAACUCUGACCACAACUCAUCAUCUAUGGCAUCUUGUACCUCCGAGUAGUUUUUUGAUCACCUAACAAGUCUUUGGCAAGUACACCUGACUUCCAAUCUCUUGUUCCGAUAAUCUCAACUCUCAGACCGCACAAACCUACCAAGACGAUCAAGCUUAGUCAACCUUGACAAUUCCAUUGUCCAGUUCUCUAUAUCCAGACUUGCUUACAAUUGCCACUUCCUAUGUGUCUGUCUUACUCAGAUUUUUUUCAAAAAUCUUUUUAUGAAACUUCCAGUUCCAGUUUCCCGGACCAGGUUGUCUGUUACCUUGGAAAUCUUAGAAACCGUCUAAGCAUUCUCAACAGACGUUCCAUUCGAAUGUAAGCCUAUGUACUUCACAUUCCUGCAUCAGUGCCUUAGCCAUUAGUCCUUAGGCUCUUCCAUGGACGACUUGUCCAAUUCAGUUUUCCGAUUCUCUGACUCUUUCAGGUUAUCUCUUAGCAAUCCAUCCAUCGUCUUAGCCAGUUCAUUGAGAUUCCAUCUCAAUCCUCGGACCACAUGUCCAACUCUGUUUCCGUUCACAACAUUCAGCUCAUCCACUCGGCUAUCCUGCCUUGAACCUUUCCGCUGAAGUCUUCUUUCCAAAUUCAGUUAUGGACAAGACGUCCAUACAGAGUUAAACUCAUCAGCUCCUUGGCUCCAUAUCCGACAUCAUUUUCCUUGACAGUUUUUGUGUCUUACUUAGACUUUUUCCGAAACAUCCUUGGCUUUCUUGAGCCACUUGAUUCAAUCCUAACUCUAGACGGCUUACCUUUCUUAAGCUUCAGUAAACUCUCCGUCAAUCUUUCUCGUUUCUUCACUUCAGAAUCCGGAUCCAUUGACUUCAGUAAACCUCUAUGUUGAUUCCAACACUUAGGAAAAUUUCUUGGUUAACCCUCUUGAGUAAUCCAGAACACCUUAAGCAAUCCGAUCAUUCUCCAAAUAAUCUUAACUCAGACUUCAUUCCACCAAUCCAUUCAUUCAUCAAUGAUCUUAUCUCUGCUUUCUUUCCAGAUAGACUUCUAACUUACAUUUGCCCAUACAAAGUGUAAGUCCGAGUUGAUCACUCCCAAGAUCAAGUCUCUCGUCAGUUCUCCAAUGCUCACCCUUAGCAUUUUCCGCGUCCGGUCUAGACAAAUCUUGUAUCAUCCUUUAAACUUUGUCCUAGAACCGUAAUCGCUCUGAUAACACUUGAAAGGCCCUGGCCCGGUUUUCCUUACCGCCAGUACGACCCCAGUUCGCUUUCCCCGACCGAACAUGGUCCUUACCCGGUUUUUCCCUAACUUAGGAUUUUAUUCCAGUUUUUCCUCAAUGAGGUUCAGUUCAGUAUCCAGUGUUCGCUAAGCCUAACCAGCAUCCUAGCAAAUCACUAUUAAUUGCAGUAUAAUUAAACAUAUACCUUACUGCCUUGGUGUUAAUUCGAACUUGGCUUGGCCACUCAUCCAUCCGUAAGAUCCAACACUGCUCUCCUUUCGUUCCAUUAUCCAGUCAGAUCGGUCAAAUACUUAACCGAAUCCCCUUGUUCCUUAGUCACUCAGCCAACCAUCCCCACAUGACCAAGAACAAAGAGAGACGGCUUGGUCUCCAACCAGCCAUCCAAAAGAAUCAGUACGCUAGCCAUGCUCAGCGUCUCAGAACCAGUCAUUGAUCACUCCCAGAUCAGUCAGCACAUACUCAGCUCUACAGUCACUAUCCAGUCAGUACUCCUCACGGCCAUCCUGCUCAUCAGUCUAUCAUGUCCCGUACAUCACCAGACCUGAUCGCAUCCAUCAACCACUCAAACCGUU